AGAAACUGUCGUGACGAUCACUGGUGAACACCGUACAGAUUCGUCAUUGCCUAAGUUCCUACUGCAUCAUGCCGUCACAUGCUGGGCUACAUUGUUGACUUGUGUCUACCCUUAUCUACCAGUCUACCCAAACCUCGCCAUGGCGACUGAGUGUUCCACCAUUAUGUUGAAUAUAAGAAUGUUGCUGAAAGAAUUUGGCAUCCCACAGUCCUCCGCGAUAAACAGGUGUAACAACUUGGUCUUCUUCCUGACAUUUUCCUACGUGCGAGUCUGGCUAUAUGUUGUCAGGAUGUACAUACCCUUCAUUAACUUGUUGAUGACGAAGGAGUUCUACGCCCUGGAGUUGCCUUUCGUCGUAACGUUUGUCUGCUGUUACCAAUUCUUUGUUGUGAUAAACUUGCAUUGGUACAGCCGGCUGUGCAGACGGUUUUCAACAAACAACUUAGGAUACGGGGAUAAUGGGUAAUGACUAAAAAUGUGUAUGACACCCUUGUGUCAGCAGCAGUCGAACUAAG